UCUCUCUCUCCUCUUCACUGUACUUCCUCCCUUCCAUGCGCCACCAUGAGUCCCAUCUUAAAUAUGACCCAUCUUCCCUUCCUCACCAGCUGUCUUGUGUAUUUCUGUGUCAACACAGCACACGCGAGAGAGACCCACCUGCUCUUCUUGCUCUUGUGUGCUGAAUACGGUGUGAUGGUUUCUUUGCCUUCAUGUGGAUUUGGCAAAGGGUUUCUUACAGAGUUUAUUGGCAUUCUGUCCACCUCCUUCAUCCAAUGGGGAAGAAAAAACGAUAGAGUGAAACCCUGUUGUUUUUAAAGGGGAAAAAAGGAAAAAAUCCUCCAUGUUUCGCUUGUUUCGAAGGAGGUGGGCAUACUGCCAAGUGAGCUCUGUUGGACUCUCUUUGUGAAAACCCUCGUGAUAUAUAUCUUGUUGUGUUGAUUUGUUUUUCCUAGGUUUUCUUCUGGUACUUAAUACUGUUGAGGAAAUCAAAGAUCAAGUGAUGAAAAGAGAUCCGAGGAGAUGAAACGUCAAGAAUCAUCACAAAAGUACCAAGAAAAGCAGAAACAGAUCUUUCUACUUGUGUGAAGUCGUGAAGGUUUGAGCUAAUCAUAUUUACAGCUGGCUUCUCUAUCUCUCCCUCUCUCUCCCUCCCUCGCCCGCCUUAAAUUUCUUUGGUGGAACUACCAUAAGCCAUGAAUCACUGAUGAUCAUUUCUUUCAGUUGCUGGCUUGAGCAGAACUCGGUUCUUAACUAAGGAUCUGGAAGGUUGCUCCUAAUCUCUCUCUCUCUCUCUCUCAUUUUGUCAGAUGAUUGCUUGGAGUAGGAUCAUGAUUGAGGGCUGACAAUAGACACUGAGGUGGAAAGUGAAAACCUUCCUUCUUUGCCAAAUAAAAAAAAAAAUUCAGGCAAACUCUUGGUAAGAAAAAAAUUAAAAUUUUUUGCGAGACAACAUUAGGUUGUGUACUUUUUUUUUAUUUUACAAAUUUUGCGCUUUAGUACGACGUGACUGCAGUAAUGACGUAGUAAAAUAGAGAAACCGCUUCUGAACGUGGUGCCAUUAGUUUUCUAUGAUUGCUUAGUACUAUUAUAUUUCUUCAAAAUUUAGAGAUAUGAGAUGUCUUCAUUAAGAAAAUUUUCUUAGAAAACUCUAUUUGGAAAUGCUCGUUUCAAUAUUUUAAAGGAUUUCUUAUAGUCGACGUUUAGUUUCAUUUGAAGGACUAUGAAUUCUCUAUGGCGUAUCUUGUGUCAAUUGAUAUGUGUGUGGACUUAUUUUUUCCAUUUUUGAUUGUUUGGCCAUGUUUCUAUCUUCUAUGUUGUCUGUGAUUUUUUUCAAAAUAAAAACAUAAACCUCUUACAUUCCUGUCAAAAUUCAAAAGACUAUUUAAUAUUUAAAAAUUUAUGAAAAAAGUUGUAUGUGGAUUUUUGUGUGUAUGCUUUGGAAGUUUCAUAUGAUUUUGGUAAAAAAGAAGUCAAAAUGUAUAAGAUUUAGAUUUGGUGAAGAGUAAAAAGUGAUAAUCUAUUUAGUAAACACCUUUUUUACUUUUCGUGAAUAAUUCUUACAGAUGCAUUUCAGGUGAAGGUGUCAUGAGAGAGUUUUCUUUUUUUGGGUCGAAGUCAUUAGAGUUUUUUCUUUUUUUGGUCGAAAGAGUCAUUAGAGUUGACCGUUCCAUAUAUUGCGCAAGCACGGUUGUUUCUGCUACGUAUUUGCCUCUUAAGGUCAAUUUUGCCUCCUUUUCUUGGUCAAAGAAGAGUGCAGAUCUUGAGAUGGAGAUUGUGUGUAAAUGCGGGUCUGUCUUUCUUUUUAGAUCUAACUGGUUUUACCGGAGAACAGAAAAUUUUGCUGCUAAAGUUUGACCAGGAACUUAUUGCAAAAAAUGCAUUGCGCAUAUUAUGCCUAUCAUCUACAAUCCAAGUGAAGGGAAGGAGAAGUAGGAUGGAGUGGGAAGUUGGUAGAUUUACAUAGUGAUUGUGCGUAUCGAAAGAUGAAUCACCUCUUGCUUUAGGCACAGAUUCCUCGGUAUCAACAAUGUAGAGUGAAGGUUGACGUUUGAAUAUGAAACAAGAAACUGGUAGAAAACGAGAGAAGUCUCUAGUAUGCCUACUUUACACGUGAUUGUGAACAAACGUGAUUUCCUCUGAAAGCCCGUGAAAAUGGCGUGCCCUGUCUUCUCACCUACAGUAGGCUCAAGAAGAUCGUAAUUUCCUCACGCAUGCGCCGAAGUUUAAGAACUUAUGGUUUACUUUAAAACCCCUGUUGGGGUCUUUCUUUCUUUGGCCUUGUUCUACUGAUAAAGUUCAGCGGCUGAAGGGUCCCUCUCCCGACCCUCACCAUGCAGUUUUCACGCUUUUUAUCUGGCUCCCAGAGAAUGAUUUUGUGUAUUAUUCCCUUCGACUUCGAUGCUUAUGGUUGAAUUUGAGUCAAAGACGACUUGCCACUCCAAGAGUUAGCAAUCAUGCGCUCCCACUACACAUUAUGGUGUUCCUCUCUUUCUCUGUCUGGUGUGUUCCACCUUUAACCAUGGAUUGAAGAGCAUGCUACUGGGUCAAAUAAUGUGCUAAGUUGGGCUCGAAAUGACAAAAUCAUUUAUAAUGACAUUUGCUGUCUCUUGAA